GACGAACGCUGGCGGCGUGCUUAACACAUGCAAGUCGAGCGGUAAGGCCCUUUCGGGGGUACACGAGCGGCGAACGGGUGAGUAACACGUGGGUGACCUGCCCUCAGCUCUGGGAUAAGCCUGGGAAACCGGGUCUAAUACCGGAUAUGACUCCAUGACGCAUGUUGUGGGGUGGAAAGCCUUGUGCGGCUGAGGAUGGGCCCGCGGCCUAUCAGCUUGUUGGUGGGGUGAUGGCCUACCAAGGCGACGACGGGUAGCCGGCCUGAGAGGGCGACCGGCCACACUGGGACUGAGACACGGCCCAGACUCCUACGGGAGGCAGCAGUGGGGAAUCUUGCGCAAUGGGCGAAAGCCUGAUCCAGCGAUGCCGCGUGUGUGAAGAAGGCCUGCGGGUUGUAAAGCACUUUCAGUAGGGAAGAAAAGCCGAGUGCUAAUAUCAUUCGGUCUUGACGUUACUUACAGAAGAAGCACCGGCUAACUCCGUG
rnacentral:rRNA from 1 species